GGCAAUGAGGGGCACAGAGGACAGUGUGUGGCUAUCUCUGGGUCUCUGUUCUCCCAGGUGGACCAGUGGGGGUUGUGGCGAUGCUGUCCAGGGUGAGGUCCAGCUACGGUUGCCGUCCUGUCUGUCAGCACCAGCACCCAGCACAUCUGUAGGGCCUGGGCCCCGGACCCAGCCUGAGGGUUAUGAGGAGGUUUCCUGAAGGAGAAAAGCCAGAGUGGAGUCUGGAAUGGAGCAGGGGGGACCAUGGCCUGCCCUCAGUCUGCUAGGUGGGGCUGGAACCUGGGGUUUUGCUUGGGUGUGAAGAAGGAAGAGGCUGGGGAUGCAGCUAGGUGCUGGUUCCUCAUAGACCGAGUCAUGAUUUAUGGGGACCCUCAAUUAUAUCCCCUUAGCAGGGGCCACAAAGUCUCAAAUCUGCCCAGAAAUCCACACCUCGGAGCUCAGGUGAGGUCUUCUUCAGGUUCUCCCUCUGCAGUGCAGAUACUGUCAGAAAGAGCAAGCUACAAAUGGAGAAGUCAACAACACUCUAGUGAGAAUUACCCUGCCAAUUAAUUUUCUCAGAAAUCGGGGACUCAGGGACCGCUUGCUGCCGAGGCUGCCACCUCAGCUGCCUGUCUGUGAAAUGGGUCCAUGUGUCCCCAUGCCUUGGCCCGUCUCCUCUUCCCUACAACAGGCUGCUGUGCAGCCUGGGGCCCUUUCCAGGCCACCUUCUCCAUCUGCUCACUGAGGAGGGACCCCUGAGUCAGCGAGGCUCCAGCUUGGCUGCACCCAGCUGAAAGCUCCCACCCCAAGGCUCCAUCUCGAGACCACGGAGCUGCCAUAUGGGGGGACACAGUGUGUCAGGUUAUCCUGCUGAUACCCCACCACUUAUGGAAUGAUGGACCUUUUCCCCACUGGAUUAGAAUGUCCUUUUUGUGUAUCAUCGACCCUGAACAACCCAAGUUUGAGCCGUGUGGGUGCACUUCUACGUGGAUUUUCUUCCUCCUCUGUCACCCGAGACAGUAAGAGCCACCCCUCCUCCUCCCCAGCUGACUCAACGUGAAGAUGACGAGGAUGAAGACCUUUACAAUGAUCUGCUUAUGCUGAAUGAAUAUCUUUUCUCUUCCUUACUUUACUUUAUUGUAAUACAUGAAGCAUACAAAAUGUGUUAA
rnacentral:lncRNA from 1 species